CCUACGGGAGGCAGCAGUGGGGAAUAUUGGACAAUGGGCGAAAGCCUGAUCCAGCAAUGCCGCGUGAGUGAUGAAGGCCUUAGGGUUGUAAAGCUCUUUUACCAGGGAUGAUAAUGACAGUACCUGGAGAAUAAGCUCCGGCUAACUCCGUGCCAGCAGCCGCGGUAAUACGGAGGGAGCUAGCGUUGUUCGGAAUUACUGGGCGUAAAGAGUACGUAGGCGGUGAUUCAAGUCAGAGGUGAAAGCCUGGAGCUCAACUCCAGAACUGCCUUUGAAACUAGAUCGCUAGAAUCAUGGAGAGGUUAGUGGAAUUCCGAGUGUAGAGGUGAAAUUCGUAGAUAUUCGGAAGAACACCAGUGGCGAAGGCGACUAACUGGACAUGUAUUGACGCUGAGGUACGAAAGCGUGGGGAGCAAACAGGAUUAGAUACCCUGGUAGUCCACGCCGUAAACGAUGAUAACUAGCUGUCGGGUCGUACGACUCUGAGUGGCGCAGACUACGACAUUAAGUUAGUCCGUCCGUGGGAGGUACGGUCGCGAGAAGUAAACUAACGAAAGUUAAGUUAGUAGCGUUGAGAGNGCGACGGACGACGACGAGGGAGGAGG
rnacentral:rRNA from 1 species